UGCUCCUACGGGGGGCAGCAGUGAGGAAUAUUGGUCAAUGGCCGGAAGGCUGAACCAGCCAAGCCGCGUGAAGGACGAAGGUGCCAAGCAUUGUAAACUUCUUUUGUCAAGGGACAAAAUCAGGCUCGAGAGCCUGACCGAGGGUACUUGAAGAAAAAGCAUCGGCUAACUCCGUGCCAGCAGCCGCGGUAAUACGGAGGAUGCGAGCGUUAUCCGGAUUUAUUGGGCGUAAAGCGAGUGCAGGCGGUUCAAUAA
rnacentral:rRNA from 1 species